rnacentral:tRNA from 1 species
AGGAUAGAAGUUUUAAAACAUUUAAUUUGCACUUAAAAAUCUAUUGUAUCACACAAUCUAUCUUU